rnacentral:rRNA from 1 species
GACGAACCGUCCGAACGUUAUUCGGAAUCACUGGGCUUAAAGGGUGCGUAGGCGGCGCGGCAAGUUGGGUGUGAAAUCCCUCGGCUCAACCGAGGAACUGCGCCCAAAACUGCCGUGCUCGAGGGAGAUAGAGGUGAGCGGAACUUAGGGUGGAGCGGUGAAAUGCGUUGAUAUCCUAAGGAACACCGGUGGCGAAAGCGGCUCACUGGAUCGAUACUGACACUGAGGAGCGAAAGCCAGGGGAGCAAACGGG